GAUCUAGUAGCUCAGCCGGUAGAGCACAUCCCUUUUAAGGAUGGGGUCCUGGGUUCGAAUCCCAGCUGGAUCACCA
rnacentral:tRNA from 1 species